UGCGGUGGUAAUGGCAAGAAGGCCACACCUGUUCCCAUGCCGAACACAGCAGUUAAGCUUCUUAGCGCCGAAUGUAGUUGGGGGUUGCCCCCUGUGAGACUAGGACGCUGCCGCGC
rnacentral:rRNA from 1 species